rnacentral:rRNA from 1 species
UACGUAGGUGGCAAGCGUUGUUCGGAAUUACUGGGCGUAAAGCGUGCGCAGGCGGUUUUGUAAGCCAGAUGUGAAAUCCCCGGGCUCAACCUGGGAAUGGCAUUUGGGACUGCAAGGCUUGAGUGCGGCAGAGGAGACUGGAAUUCCUGGUGUAGCAGUGAAAUGCGUAGAUAUCAGGAGGAAUACCGAUGGCGAAGGCAGGUCUCUGGGCUGACACUGACGCUCAUGCACGAAAGCGUGGGGAGCAAACAGG